rnacentral:rRNA from 2 species
UUUAUGGAGAGUUUGAUCCUGGCUCAGGAUGAACGCUGGCGGCGUGCCUAAUACAUGCAAGUCGAGCGAACAGACGAGGAGCU